rnacentral:rRNA from 1 species
UACGUAGGGGGCUAGCGUUGUCCGGAAUCAUUGGGCGUAAAGAGCGUGUAGGCGGUCCGGUAAGUCCGCUGUGAAAGUCGGGGGCUCAACCCUCGAAUGCCGGUGGAUACUGUCGGGCUAGAGUGCGGAAGAGGCGAGUGGAAUUCCUGGUGUAGCGGUGAAAUGCGUUGAUAUCAUCAGGAACACCGGUGGCGAAGGCGGCUUUCUGGGUCUUACCUGACGGCUGAGGAACGAAAGCCAGGGGAGCG